UUCUCGACGAACACCUGGUCG
rnacentral:piRNA from 1 species